UUUUUUUUUGUCUUUUUCCUUUUUAUCGGUACUAGGGAUCGAACUCACGACUGCCUGCUUGCAAGGCAAGGCGCUUAUGCCACUGAGCUAAAUCCCCAGCCCCUGUAUCGCCUUUUGUGGGAAGCAUCAUUUUUUUCCAUCGCUGUUAUCUUAUCCCACUCAGUUCUCGAGCGGGUAUACACCGUGUGCAUCACAGUGGGGUCAACACUGAGAAAGAGACGGGUUCCAGUUCGCCAUCCAAGAGGCUGUAAUUAACCCGGAGAAAUGACAGCACACCUGUAAGUGUUUAAGAAGCAGCAGAAAAUAGCCAGCCGCAGUACCAGAGACUCACAAGAGAGGCGGCCACAAAGCACCACCUGUCAGGUGCCCCCCGCCCAGUGACAGGCAGUGAUUAUUAACUUCCGCCGGAGGGUGGGCCUUGCUCUGUCCCUGCAGCCUGGACGUCCCUCCGGGGCCUGCGCCCACCACAGCUGUUCUGCACAAAGCCAGGCAGCUUCCGUGUUACACACCGCACACCAGCCAAGGCUAUUUAUAGGGGCGCUGUCAGCGUGGCUUCUUCCAGUUGAAAAUUCUAGUUCCCUUCAGGGCUAACUAUUGUCUUAAUUCUAAUCUUUCUCCUUAGUAGGAACCGAUCACCAGUUUGACCCUCGUCUUCCGCAGCUCCCUGUCAGUGUCAUUUACCCGGAAUCCACCUUGCUGGGUUGAACUGGUUGCCCUCUCUCUGGCCCACAGCAUCCAUCCUGGGCUCUCUGUCAUAACCCAGAAAACCCCUCUGCCUCGCCUGUUAGAGCCUUUUAUUGUGGGGUCCCUGGCUCGCUCUUCUUGGUUUACUCCAUGGUCCUGAUGGAGCACAUCCCCCAGCAGCUUUCUUAGAAAGGAUGGCUGCAGGUUUUCUAGGUAUCUGUUGCUGGAGGCAAGGCCGGGGAGGAGGCCAAACCUAGUGACAUAAAAUAAAAUAGCAACAUGA